GACGAACGCUGGCGGCGUGCUUAACACAUGCAAGUCGAACGAAGUGGCGCACGGGUGAGUAACGCGUAAUCAACCUGCCCUUCAGAGGGGGACAACAGUUGGAAACGACUUCUUAUACCGCAUACUGAAGUAGGUGCUUGCGGUUGAUUAGCUAGUUGGCGGGGUAACGGCCAACCAAGGCGAUGAUCAGUAGCCGGUCUGAGAGGAUGAACGGCCACAUUGGGACUGAGACACGGCCCAGACUCCUACGGGAGGCAGCAGUGGGGAAUCUUCCGAAAUGGACGAAAGUCUGACGGAGCAACGCCGCGGGAGUGAUGACGGCCUUCGGGUUGUAAAGCUCUGUUAAUCGGGACGCGGUACCGGAAUAGAAAGCCACGGCUAACUACGUGCCAGCAGCCGCGGUAAUUC
rnacentral:rRNA from 1 species